ACGGUAGCACAGAGGAGCUUGCUCCUUGGGUGACGAGCGGCGGACGGGUGAGUAAUGUCUGGGAAACUGCCCGAUGGAGGGGGAUAACUACUGGAAACGGUAGCUAAUACCGCAUAACGUCGCAAGACCAAAGAGGGGGACCUUCGGGCCUCUUGCCAUCGGAUGUGCCCAGAUGGGAUUAGCUAGUAGGUGGGGUAACGGCUCACCUAGGCGACGAUCCCUAGCUGGUCUGAGAGGAUGACCAGCCGCACUGGAACUGAGACACGGUCCAGACUCCUACGGGAGGCAGCAGUGGGGAAUAUUGCACAAUGGGCGCAAGCCUGAUGCAGCCAUGCCGCGUGUAUGAAGAAGGCCUUCGGGUUGUAAAGUACUUUCAGCGAGGAGGAAGGCGUUGCGGUUAAUAACCGCAGCGAUUGACGUUACUCGCAGAAGAAGCACCGGCUAACUCCGUGCCAGCAGCCGCGGUAAUACGGAGGGUGCAAGCGUUAAUCGGAAUUACUGGGCGUAAAGCGCACGCAGGCGGUCUGUCAAGUCGGAUGUGAAAUCCCCGGGCUCAACCUGGGAACUGCAUCCGAAACUGGCAGGCUAGAGUCUUGUAGAGGGGGGUAGAAUUCCAGGUGUAGCGGUGAAAUGCGUAGAGAUCUGGAGGAAUACCGGUGGCGAAGGCGGCCCCCUGGACAAAGACUGACGCUCANGUGCGAAAGCGUGGGGAGCAAACAGNAUUAGAUACCCUGGUAGUCCACGCCGUAAACGAUGUCGACUUGGAGGUUGUGCCCUUGAGGCGUGGCUUCCGGAGCUAACGCGUUA
rnacentral:rRNA from 1 species